UACGUAGGGGGCUAGCGUUGUCCGGAAUCAUUGGGCGUAAAGAGCGUGUAGGCGGUCCGGUAAGUCCGCUGUGAAAGUCGGGGGCUCAACCCUCGAAUGCCGGUGGAUACUGUCGGGCUAGAGUGCGGAAGAGGCGAGUGGAAUUCCUGGUGUAGCGGUGAAAUGCGCAGAUAUCAAGCGGAACACCGGUGGCGAAGGCGGCCUUCUGGACAGUGACUGACGCUGAGACGCGAAAGCGUGGGGAGCAAACAGG
rnacentral:rRNA from 1 species